UUUUUGGUGAGUAACGCGUAAGAACCUGCCCUUGGGAGGGGAACAACAACUGGAAACGGUUGCUAAUACCCCGUAGGCUGAGGAGCAAAAGGAGAAAUCCGCCCAAGGAGGGGCUCGCGUCUGAUUAGCUAGUUGGUGAGGUAAUAGCUUACCAAGGCGAUGAUCAGUAGCUGGUCCGAGAGGAUGAUCAGCCACACUGGGACUGAGACACGGCCCAGACUCCUACGGGAGGCAGCAGUGGGGAAUUUUCCGCAAUGGGCGAAAGCCUGACGGAGCAAUGCCGCGUGGAGGUGGAAGGCCUACGGGUCGUCAACUUCUUUUCUCGGAGAAGAAACAAUGACGGUAUCUGAGGAAUAAGCAUCGGCUAACUCUGUGCCAGCAGCCGCGGUAAGACAGAGGAUGC
rnacentral:rRNA from 9 species